rnacentral:lncRNA from 1 species
UUAUAUAUAUAUAUAUAUAUAUAUAUAUAUAUAUAUAUAUAUAGAGAGAGAGAGAGAGAGAGAGACUGUAAAGUGGUAACGUCGGUGCUUGCUUUUUUUUUUCCUGUAUCUUGUAGGAUCUGAGUGGGUGGCAAUGUAUAGAAGAAGAAGAGAGAUGAGCAUCUGCAUCUUCUCUUUUCUGGCUUGCUGGAAAAGCUUUUGACCAUACUAGAUUGUUCCUUUGUCUCAAAUUCCAAAUGAGGUGACAUCAUGGCAUAUACUUGGGUUUAUGCCUUUUUGCUUGACUCCCAAGUCAGGUGACCACUGAAGGAGCCUAUGCCAGACGAACAAGUGCUUCUCUUUUGUAUGAAAGAGGUUGUCCUUCCGUGUGGUCCAACCAAAGAUUAGUACUUCGUUACAUGCCUCUACUGAAUUAAUAAUAUAUGAGACUACAUAAAUAUUGGUAAAGUUAAGAAUAUUAAUUUUUGGAGGUAAUACAGGAAUCAAAUUAAGCACCUGAGAGUGUGGCAAUCGAAGUAGGAGAUCAUGAUUAAGCACCCGAAUUUGUUUAUUUGGGAUUUGCUCCUUUUCUCGUACGAUUUAAAAUAAUCCAAGAUGAAUUUGGUUUGAACCAAUUUAGCUGAAUGAGGCUAAUCGCCUAACUCGAACCUCCUAAGUG